rnacentral:rRNA from 1 species
UAGGGAAUCUUCGGCAAUGGACGAAAGUCUGACCGAGCAACGCCGCGUGAGUGAAGAAGGCCUUCGGAUCGUAAAACUCUGUUGUUAGAGAAGAACAAGGACGUUAGUAACUGAACGUCCCCUGACGGUAUCUAACCAGAAAGCCACGUCUAACUACGUGCCAGCAGCCGCGGUAAUACGUAGGUGGCAAGCGUUGUCCGGAUUUAUUGGGCGUAAAGCGAGCGCAGGCGGUUUCUUAAGUCUGAUGUGAAAGCCCCCGGCUCAACCGGGGAGGGUCAUUGGAAACUGGGAGACUUGAGGGCAGAAGAGGAGAGUGGAAUUCCAUGUGUAGCGGUGAAAUGCGUAGAUAUAUGGAGGAACACCAGUGGCGAAGGCGGCUCUCUGGUCUGUAACUGACGCUGAGGCGCGAAAGCGUGGGGAGCAAACAGG